rnacentral:rRNA from 1 species
UACGAAGGGGGCUAGCGUUGCUCGGAAUGACUGGGCGUAAAGGGCGCGUAGGCGGCUGUCACAGUCAGAAGUGAAAUUCCUGGGCUCAACCUGGGGACUGCUUUUGAUACGUGGCGGCUUGAGUGGGGAAGAGGGUUGCGGAAUUUCCAGUGUAGAGGUGAAAUUCGUAGAUAUUGGAAAGAACACCGGUGGCGAAGGCGGCGACCUGGGACGAUACUGACGCUGAGGUGCGAAAGCGUGGGGAGCAAACAGG